rnacentral:lncRNA from 1 species
UUUUUUCCUUUUUCUAAAUUCACUCACAAAUCUCUGUUUUGUUCAGCUAGGGUUUCACCGAAAGUACUAGCAGAUACCCUUCUUCAUCAGCUUCAUAUUUCGUCUCCAUUCGUCGAUUCAUCUUCAUGGNCCCCCCCUCUCUCUCGCCCUCCCUCUCAAUUAUGAGGACUGAAAUUAAAUAUCUGUUAUAAACUUGUUACAGCAGCAGCAGUUCGAUCGUUUCUGCAAGUAGCGGUCACUGAAGAAGUCGCUUCCCCGCUCAGAGUCGUUCAGAUCGAAGGACUGGUAUCACUUUUACAUCCCAGAAUCUCCUUUUAUCUAUUUUAUUAUUUAUAUAUUUUGAUUUUGUUCGUUGAAUUAGUAUGUGUACAUAUUCCAGCUUUAAUUUGGUAUUGGUUUUAUCGAUAAUGCUAGAGGAUAUUUAUCGAUUGAAAUGCGACAAUUUAACUUAAUUUGAGCUAUAAACAUAACUGAUUGUAGUGUGUGUUUCGUUGUGUCAAUGAUGGGGUUAAAAUUGGAAAGACUUUAUUGACUAUUUUGGAGUAGAGGCUGUUGAAUUUGUCUGACUAUUUUAUGUUGAGCAGUAUGAAAGUGCUGUGUAAACCACAUAGAAGUUCGAUAAUUUUAACCAUAUUAGCUGCUCUGAACUCCCAAAUGAUCAUUUUGUGCUACAGUUGCUAUAGGGCUGCUUAUAUUGAAUUUCAU